ACGGGAGGCAGCAGUGAGGAAUAUUGGUCAAUGGACGCAAGUCUGAACCAGCCAUGCCGCGUGCAGGAAUAAGGCCCUAUGGGUCGUAAACUGCUUUUGUGGUGGAGCAAUAAGUCGUACGUGUACGGCGAUGAGAGUACAUCACGAAUAAGCAUCGGCUAACUCCGUGCCAGCAGCCGCGGUAAUACGGAGGAUGCAAGCGUUAUCCGGAUUUAUUGGGUUUAAAGGGUGCGUAGGCUGUGGUCCAAGUCAGGGGUGAAAGCCCGGAGCUCAACUCCGGAACUGCCUUUGAUACUGGAUUGCUGGAAUACGGAUGCCGUGGGAGGAAUGAGUAGUGUAGCGGUGAAAUGCAUAGAUAUUACUCAGAACACCGAUUGCGAAGGCAUCUCACGAAUCCGUCAUUGACGCUGAGGCACGAAAGCGUGGGGAUCAAACAGGAUUAGAUACCCUGGUA
rnacentral:rRNA from 1 species